rnacentral:rRNA from 1 species
GAGUUUGAUCGUGGCUCAGAUUGAACGCUGGCGGCAUGCCUUACACAUGCAAGUCGAACGGCAGCACGGGAGCUUGCUCCUGGUGGCGAGUGGCGAACGGGUGAGUAAUGCAUCGGAACGUAUCCUGGAGUGGGGGAUAACGUAGCGAAAGUUACGCUAAUACCGCAUAUUCUGUGAGCAGGAAAGCGGGGGACCUUCGGGCCUCGCGCUCUUGGAGCGGCCGAUGUCGGAUUAGCUAGUUGGUGAGGUAAAGGCUCACCAAGGCGACGAUCCGUAGCAGGUCUGAGAGGAUGAUCUGCCACACUGGAACUGAGACACGGUCCAGACUCCUACGGGAGGCAGCAGUGGGAAUUUUGGACAAUGGGGGCAACCCUGAUCCAGUCAUGCCGCGUGAGUGAAGAAGGCCUCGGUU